rnacentral:rRNA from 1 species
AGCAGCCGCGGUAAUUCCAGCUCCAAUAGCGUAUAUUAAAGUUGUUGCAGUUAAAAAGCUCGUAGUUGAACUUCAGGCCUGGCUGGACGGUCCGCCUUCCGGGCGAGUACUGUCUGUGGUCGGGUCCUACCUUCUGGCGAAGCGUCAUGGCCUUAACCGGCCGUGGCGGGGAACCAGGACUUUUACUGUAGAAAAAAUUAGAGUGUUCAAAGCAGGCAAUUCGCUUGGAUACAUUAGCAUGGAAUAAUGGAAUAGGACAAUGGUUCUAUUUGUUGGUUUCUAGGACUGUUGUAAUGAUUAAUAGGGAUAGUUGGGGGCAUUAGUAUUCAAUUGUCAGAGGUGAAAUUCUUGGAUUUAUUGAAGACUAACUACUGCGAAAGCAUUUGCCAAGGAUGUUUUCAUUAAUCAAGAACGAAAGUUAGGGGAUCGAAGACGAUCAGAUACCGUCGUAGU